rnacentral:rRNA from 1 species
GACGAACCGUGCGACCGUUGUUCGGAAUCACUGGGCUUAAAGGGCGCGUAGGCGGACUGCCAAGUCCGGGGUGAAAUCCUCCGGCUUAACCGGAGAAUUGCCUGGGAUACUGGCGGUCUUGAGGGAGGUAGGGGCACGCGGAACUUCCGGUGGAGCGGUGAAAUGCGUUGAUAUCGGAAGGAACGCCGGUGGCGAAAGCGGCGUGCUGGCCCUCUUCUGACGCUGAGGCGCGAAAGCCAGGGGAGCGAACGGG